GACAGAGGGUGCAAACGUUGUUCGGAAUUACUGGGCGUAAAGCGCGUGUAGGCGGCUAUGUAAGUCGGGCGUGAAAUCCCACGGCUCAACCGUGGAAGUGCACCCGAAACUGCGUAGCUAGAGUCCUGGAGAGGAAGGUGGAAUGCUUGGUGUAGAGGUGAAAUUCGUAGAUAUCAAGCGGAACACCGGUGGCGAAGGCGGCCUUCUGGACAGUGACGUGACGCUGAGACGCGAA
rnacentral:rRNA from 1 species